AGGAGAGUUUGAUCCUGGCUCAGGACGAACGCUGGCGGCGUGCUUCAUACAUGCAAGUCGAACGAGAAGCAGGAGCUUGCUCCUGUGGAAAGUGGCGGACGGGUGAGUAACACGUAGGGAAUCUGCCUUUAGGAUGGGGACAACAGUUGGAAACGACUGCUAAAACCCGAUAUGAGCUAAGUUGAAAUACUUAUCUUGAAAACUCCGGUGCCUAGAGAUGAGCCUGCGUCUGAUUAGCUUGUUGGCGGGGUAAAUGCCCACCAAGGCGACGAUCAGUAGCUGGUUUGAGAGGAUGAUCAGCCACAAUGGGACUGAGACACGGCCCAUACUCCUACGGGAGGCAGCAGUAGGGAAUUUUGCGCAAUGGGGGAAACCCUGACGCAGCAACGCCGCGUGGACGAAGAAGCCCUUCGGGGUGUAAAGUUCUGUCAGUAGGGAAGAAACAAUGACUGUACCUACAGAGGAAGCACCGGCUAACUCCGUGCCAGCAGCCGCGGUAAUACGGAGGGUGCAAGCGUUGUCCGGAAUCAUUGGGCGUAAAGCGUUCGUAGGCGGCAUAUCAAGUCUGGUGUUAAAGCCCGGGGCUUAACUCCGGUAGGGCACUGGAUACUGGUAAGCUGGAAUGAGGUAGAGGUAAUGGGAAUUCCUGGUGUAGCGGUGAAAUGCGUAGAUAUCAGGAGGAACAUCGGUGGCGUAAGCGCAUUACUGGGCCUUAAUUGACGCUGAGGCACGAAAGCAUGGGUAGCAAACAGGAUUAGAUACCCUGGUAGUCCCCU
rnacentral:rRNA from 1 species